rnacentral:rRNA from 1 species
CAGAGGGUUACUGCUAUCGAGAUUCGACUAAGCCAUGCGAGUUGAAUGUUCUUCGUGAACAUGGCGGACUGCUCAGUAACACGUGGACAACCUACCCUUGGGUCCGGCAUAAUCCUGGGAAACUGGGAAUAAUUCCGGAUAGGUCACCGAUGCUGGAAUGCGCGGUGGCCGAAAGCUCCGGCGCCCGAGGAUGGGUCUGCGGCCUAUCAGGGUUGUAGUGGGUGUAACGUACCUACUAGCCUACGACGGGUACGGGUUGUGAGAGCAAGAGCCCGGAGAUGGAUUCUGAGACACGAAUCCAGGCCCUACGGGGUGCAGCAGGCGCGAAAACUUUACAAUGCGGGAAACCGUGAUAAGGGGAUCUCGAGUGCCAGCAUAUAAUGUUGGCUGUCCAGAUGCCUAAAAAGCAUCUGUUAGCAAGGGCCGGGCAAGACCGGUGCCAGCCGCCGCGGUAACACCGGCGGCCCGAGUGGUAACCGCUAUUAUUGGGUCUAAAGGGUCUGUAGCCGGCCAGGUAAGUCCCUUGGGAAAUCUGGCAGCUCAACUGUCAGGCUGCUAGGGGAUACUGUUUGGCUUGGGACCGGGAGAGGUGAGAGGUACCUUGGGGGUAGGGGUGAAAUCUUGUGAUCCUCGAGGGACCACCAGUGGCGAAGGCGUCUCACCAGAACGGGUCCGACGGUAAGGGACGAAAGCUAGGGGCACGAACCGGAUUAGAUACCCGGGUAGUCCUAGCCGUAAACGAUGCUCGCUAGGUGUCAGUCACGGUGCGACCGUGAUUGGUGCCGUAGGGAAGCCGUGAAGCGAGCCACCUGGGAAGUAUGGCCGCAAGGCUGAAACUUAAAGGAAUUGGCGGGGGAGCACUACAWCGGGURSAGCCUGCGGUUUAAUUG